rnacentral:rRNA from 1 species
UACGGGGGGGCAAGCGUUGUUCGGAAUUACUGGGCGUAAAGGGCGCGUAGGCGGUUUGCUAAGUUGGAUGUGAAAACUCUGGGCUUAACCCAGAGCCUGCAUCCAAAACUGGCAAACUUGAGUACUGGAGGGAAAGCGGAAUCCUGGUGUAGCGGUGAAAUGCGUAGAUAUCAGGAGGAACACCGGUGGCGAAGGCGGCUUUCUGGACAGUAACUGACGCUGGAGGCGCGAAAGCUAGGGGAGCAAACAGG